AGUGAACGCUGGCGGUAGGCCUAACACAUGCAAGUCGAACGGCAGCACAGUAAGAGCUUGCUCUUACUGGUGGCGAGUGGCGGACGGGUGAGGAAUACAUCGGAAUCUACUUUUUCUUGGGGGAUAACGUAGGGAAACUUACGCUAAUACCGCAUACUACCUACGGGUGAAAGCAGGGGAUCUUCGGACCUUGCGCGAUUGAAUGAGCCGAUGUCGGAUUAGCUAGUUGGCGGGGUAAAGGCCCACCAAGGCAACGAUCCGUAGCUGGCCUGAGAGGAUGAUCAGCCACACUGGAACUGAGACACGGUCCAGACUCCUACGGGAGGCAGCAGUGGGGAAUAUUGGACAAUGGGCGAAAGCCUGAUCCAGCCAUACCGCGUGGGUGAAGAAGGCCUUCGGGUUGUAAAGCUCUUUUGUUGGGAAAGAAAAGAAGCAGGUUAAUCCCCCGCUGUUCUGACGGUACCCAAAGAAUAAGCAACGGCUAACUUCGUG
rnacentral:rRNA from 1 species